rnacentral:rRNA from 1 species
CGAAACCUUUACACUGCACGCAAGUGCGAUAGGGGAAUCCCAAGUGCGAGGGCAUAUUAGCCCUCGCUUUUGUUGACUGUAAGGAGGUCAACGAAUAAGAGCUGGGCAAGACCGGUGCCAGCCGCCGCGGUAAUACCGGCAGCUCGAGUGAUGUCCAAUAUUAUUGGGCCUAAAGCGUCCGUAGCUGGCCAGCCAAGUUCGUCGGGAAAUCCACCUGCCCAACAGGUGGGCGUCCGGCGAAAACUGUCUGGCUUGGAACCGGAAGGCUCAGAGGGUACGUCCGGGGUAGGAGUGAAAUCCCGUAAUCCCGGACGGACCACCGAUGGCGAAAGCACUCUGAGAAGACGGAUUCGACAGUGAGGGACGAAAGCUAGGGUCUCGAACCGGAUUAGAUACCCGGGUAGUCCUAGCUGUAAACGAUGCUCGUUAGGUGUGGCACCCACUACGAGUGGGUGCUGUGCCGUAGGGAAGCCGCUAAACGAGCCGCCUGGGAAGUACGUCCGCAAGGAUGAAACUUAAAGGAAUUGGCGGGGGAGCACUACAACCGGAGGAGCCUGCGGUUUAAUUGGACUCAACGCCGGACAUCUCACCAGCCCCGACAUCAGUAAUGACGGUCAUGUUGACGACAUCUGCCCGAGCUGAUGAGAGGAGGUGCAUGGCCGCCGUCAGCUCGUACCGUGAGGCGUCCUGUUAAGUCAGGCAACGAGCGAGACCCACGUUCCUAAUUGCCAGCACCGGCUCCGGCCGGGUGGGUACAUUAGGAAGACUGCCGCUGCUAAAGCGGAGGAAGGAAUGGGCAACGGUAGGUCAGUAUGCCCCGAAUGGGCUGGGCAACACGCGGGCUACAAUGGUCAGGACAAUGGGUUCCAACCUCGAGAGAGGACGGUAAUCUCAGAAACCUGGUCGUAGUUCGGAUUGCGGACUGAAACUCGUCCGCAUGAAGCUGGAUUCGGUAGUAAUCGCGUUUCAGAAGAGCGCGGUGAAUACGUCCCUGCUCCUUGCACACACCGCCCGUCAAAGCACCCGAGUGAGGUCCGGAUGAGGCCACAUUACUGUGGUCGAAUCUGGC